rnacentral:rRNA from 1 species
UACGUAGGUGGCAAGCGUUGUCCGGAUUUACUGGGCGUAAAGAGCGCGCAGGCGGUCGUGCAAGUCGCGUGUGAAAGCCCCCGGCUCAACUGUGGAGGGUCACGCGAUACUGCUCGACUCGAAGGCAGGAGAGGGAAGUGGAAUUCCCGGUGUAGUGGUGAAAUGCGUAGAUAUCGGGAGGAACACCAGUGGCGAAGGCGACUUCCUGGCCUGUUCUUGACGCUGAGGCGCGAAAGCUAGGGUAGCAAACGGG